rnacentral:rRNA from 1 species
UACGUAGGGUGCAAGCGUUGUCCGGAAUUAUUGGGCGUAAAGAGCUCGUAGGCGGUUCGUCACGUCGGGAGUGAAAACUCGGGGCUUAACCCCGAGCCUGCUUCCGAUACGGGCAGACUAGAGGUAGGCAGGGGAGAGCGGAACUCCUGGUGUAGCGGUGGAAUGCGCAGAUAUCAGGAGGAACACCGGUGGCGAAGGCGGCUUGCUGGGCCAGUUCUGACGCUGAGGAGCGAAAGCGUGGGGAGCGAACAGG